rnacentral:lncRNA from 1 species
AGACCCCUGCGGCGGCCGCAGCCGCUUGGGACUCGCUGCGAGCUGGUUUCGGAUCCAUCCCGCCUCCCGGCGUCUCACUGUGUGCCCUACCCUUUGAAACACGCCCCCGCGCCCGCCCUGCCGUAGACCAGGCAGCGAGGAAGCCCACAGUCUCCGGGGGCGCUGCGCGCGAAGUAGCACGUGCUUCUCGAAACACCGCAGCCCCCGGGUCCCGCCCCGCCCGGCGCGCGCACUCGAACCCGCCCAGAGAGCGGUGCGUGGCGCUGGGUGCGAGCAGGGUCUAGCCACCCCCACCCUCACCCCACCCCACCCCACCCUGCUUUUUUCAGGUUCAUCAAGGUUUGCGCAGUGGAUCCGCGAAUGAAGCCAGCCUGGAAGAUCCCCAGUCUCGAGACAGAGCCUGACAGGGGCAGAUGCACUGGAAGGACCCUGUCUGGGUUUAGCAACCAAGCAGCCAUCCUGGCCCCACAGGUGUGGGACUUCUGGGUCUUCUCCUGGCUGGCUUCUUGCUAGAGGAUUUCAAGAGACCCAGCAAGACUGUAUUGUCCCACUGAAUGCUCAAGAUAUUGGUUAGAAGUAGAAAAGGGGAGGGGGUAGUAUUUAGCCUCUGUCCCCACUAAAAAUUAUUCCCAAUUGUCAUUUGUGUCAUCUGUUUAGCUUACAGUUUUAAUCCUUGUCAAAAUGAUCAUUUGCCAGGGUGCAUAAAACACCCUAUUUGAUGAGAACUGGUUUUAAAGGAAAAUGGGGCCAUCAGAAGGAAGCCGGUUGGUGUGAAGAGACGUCUGGGAAGAGCCCCUGGCGAGGGCCCUCAUUCCACUGGGUGACCCAGAAGGAGAAAACCGCGAUGGCGCUUCUCAUUUGAAAUGUUUUCUUUAUGGACAGUGUUUAGCAAUUGUUAUAAUGUGUACUUUUGUUGAUUGAUCUGUAUACAUAUGUAAAAUAAUUUGUUCUCUGAGUUAAUUUUGUUGGAACAAAGACUUUAGUGCUUCCUACAUUAAAACAUUUUACUGUA